GCGCUGCCUUUGAGCCCAUGUCUUGCCUCCAUAUGGCGCCUGGGGUCAGGCUGUAGGGCAGAUGCCAGAGGACCAGCUUGCGCAUAAUUGGGGCCACCCCUUCCCCUCCCAGUGGCCCUUCUAACUGCCAGUGACACUG
rnacentral:snoRNA from 1 species